rnacentral:rRNA from 1 species
GCGAAUGGUGGAUGCCUUGACUGGUAAAGGCGAUGAAGGACGUACUAGACUGCGAUAAGCUACGGGGAGCUGUCAAGAAGCUUUGAUCCGUAGAUUUCCGAAUGGGGCAACCCAAUGUAUAGAGAUAUACAUUACCUAUAUAGGAGCGAACGAGGGGAAUUGAAACAUCUUAGUACCCUCAGGAAAAGAAAUCAAUAGAGAUUGCGUCAGUAGCGGCGAGCGAAAGCGCAAGAGGGCAAACCCAGUGCUUGCACUGGGGGUUGUAGGACUGCAAUGUGCAAGAGGUAAGUUUAGCAGAACAUUCUGGAAAGUAUAACCAUAGAGGGUGAUAGUCCCGUAUGCGAAAAACAAACCUUAGCUAGCAGUAUCCUGAGUAGGGCGGGACACGAGGAAUCCUGUCUGAAUCUGGGUCGACCACGAUCCAACCCUAAAUACUAAUACCAGAUCGAUAGUGCACAAGUACCGUGAGGGAAAGGUGAAAAGAACUGAGGUGAUCAGAGUGAAAUAGAACCUGAAACCAUUUGCUUACAAUCAUUCAGAGCCCUAUGUAGCAAUACAGGGUGAUGGACUGCCUUUUGCAUAAUGAGCCUGCGAGUUGUGGUGUCUGGCAAGGUUAAGCAAACGCGAAGCCGUAGCGAAAGCGAGUCUGAAUAGGGCGCUUAGUCAGAUGCUGCAGACCCGAAACGAAGUGAUCUAUCCAUGAGCAAGUUGAAGCUAGUGUAAGAACUAGUGGAGGACUGAACCCAUAGGCGUUGAAAAGCCCCGGGAUGACUUGUGGAUAGGGGUGAAAGGCCAAUCAAACUUCGUGAUAGCUGGUUCUCUCCGAAAUAUAUUUAGGUAUAGCGUUGUGUCGUAAUAUAAGGGGGUAGAGCACUGAAUGGGCUAGGGCAUACACCAAUGUACCAAACCCUAUCAAACUCCGAAUACCUUAUAUGUAAUCACAGCAGUCAGGCGGCGAGUGAUAAAAUCCGUCGUCAAGAGGGAAACAACCCAGACUACCAGCUAAGGUCCCUAAGUCUUACUUAAGUGGAAAACGAUGUGAAGUUACUUAAACAACCAGGAGGUUGGCUUAGAAGCAGCCAUCCUUUAAAGAAAGCGUAAUAGCUCACUGGUCUAGUGAUUUUGCGCGGAAAAUA